AUGGCCUACCAAGGCGACGACGGGUAGCCGGCCUGAGAGGGCGUCCGGCCACACUGGGACUGAGAUACGGCCCAGACUCCUACGGGAGGCAGCAGUGGGGAAUAUUGCACAAUGGGCGCAAGCCUGAUGCAGCGACGCCGCGUGGGGGAUGACGGCCUUCGGGUUGUAAACCCCUUUCAGCACAGAACGAAGCGCAGGUGACGGUAUGUGCAGAAGAAGCACCGGCCAACUACGUGCCACCAGCCGCGGUAAUACGUAGGGUGCGAGCGUUGUCCGGAAUUACUGGGCGUAAAGAGCUCGUAGGUGGUUUGUC
rnacentral:rRNA from 1 species